CCUGACUGCUAUCGGAUUGAUACUAAGCCAUGCGAGUCUUUGCAGUAAUGCAAGGCAUACGGCUCAGUAACACGUAGUCAACUUACCCUAUGGACGAGGAUAAUCUCGGGAAACUGAGCAUAAUACUCGAUAGAUCAUAAUGCCUGGAAUGGUUUAUGGUUGAAAUGAUUCGUCGCCAUAGGAUGGGACUGCGGCCUAUCAGCUUGUUGGUGAGGUAAUGGCCCACCAAGGCGAUUACAGGUACGGGCUCUGAGAGGAGAAGCCCGGAGAUGGGUACUGAGACAAGGACCCAGGCCCUAUGGGGCGCAGCAGGCGAGAAAACUUUGCAAUGUGCGAAAGCACGACAAGGUUAAUCCGAGUGAUUUCUGCUAAAGAAAUCUUUUGCAAGUCAUAAAACCACUAGUGAAUAAGGGGUGGGCAAGUUCUGGUGUCAGCCGCCGCGGUAAAACCAGCACCUCAAGUGGUCAGGAGGAUUAUUGGGCCUAAAGCAUCCGUAGCCGGCUCUGUAAGUUUUCGGUUAAAUCCAUGUGCUCAACGCAUGGGCUGCCGAAAAUACUGCAUAGCUAGGGAGUGGGAGAGGUAGACGGUACUCGGUAGGAAGGGGUAAAAUCCUUUGAUCUAUCGAUGACCACCUGUGGCGAAGGCGGUCUACCAGAACACGUUCGACGGUGAGGGAUGAAAGCUGGGGGAGCAAACCGGAUUAGAUACCCGGGUAGUCCCAGCUGUAAACGAUGCAGACUCGAUGAUGCAUUGGCAUAUAGCCAGUGCAGUGUCGCAGGGAAGCCGUUAAGUCUGCCGCCUGGGAAGUACGUACGCAAGUAUGAAACUUAAAGGAAUUGGCGGGGGAGCACCACNAAGGGGUGAAGCCUGCGGUUC
rnacentral:rRNA from 1 species